rnacentral:rRNA from 1 species
AACGAACGCUGGCGGCAUGCCUAACACAUGCAAGUCGAACGAGACCUUCGGGUCUAGUGGCGCACGGGUGCGUAACGCGUGGGAACCUGCCCUUAGGUUCGGAAUAACUCCCCGAAAGGGGUGCUAAUACCGGAUAAUGUCUUCGGACCAAAGAUUUAUCGCCUUUGGAUGGGCCCGCGUUGGAUUAGCUAGUUGGUAGGGUAAAAGCCUACCAAGGCGACGAUCCAUAGCUGGUCUGAGAGGAUGAUCAGCCGCACUGGGACUGAGACACGGCCCAGACUCCUACGGGAGGCAGCAGUGGGGAAUAUUGGACAAUGGGCGAAAGCCUGAUCCAGCAAUGCCGCGUGAGUGAUGAAGGCCUUAGGGUUGUAAAGCUCUUUUACCCGGGAUGAUAAUGACAGUACCGGGAGAAUAGGCUCCGGCUAACUCCGUG